ensembl:snoRNA
CCUCCAUUUCUUGACAGAGACCAGAUUGUGAUCCUGCUCCUUUACAUAGAAAGGCAGAAGGAAAGGACUCUGGCCCCCUCAGUGUCAAGUCUUCAGUGCCAGUGGCUUCCCAUCUGCAGGUUCUAUCCUCGAACACCAGAACAUGG